CUGCAGGCUCUGGGGAAGGGUAGGGAGCAGGGAGGGGUCUGGUCCAGGCUGGCUUUAAGUAUUUCAAGACACGCAAACUGCGCGGAAGCCAAUCCAUAGAACCACCUCCAUUUCCUCUAUGAGGGUCACCGCCUCUUUUCCAGAACAGCAGGGGAUGCAGAGUGAAGGAAGAUUAACGCAGGCCAGGAGGAAGCCGGGCAAGGAAGGUGGAGAUCUGGCGCUGGGAGCAUUGAGAGGCCACCGCCCAGCAGGAUGCAGACUAGCCAGCAGCCAAGCCGAAGCUCCACACCACUGGGGCCAUCUUCAUGGCCCUGGAGCACCCGGGAAGGCGGUGCUGAAGGAGCCUGGCCCCAUGAUCUCCUACUGUGUUAACUGUCCUAGAGGAAGAAGAUGCCAACCUGGCCCCCUACGACCUCACUGGACCUCGCGUGGAGGAAAAGAGACAAAUCUUUGCACGACACUAUGUUGUGAUACUGGAAAGUACCUAAGACUCCGGUAGCACAUAUGAGGGAGUGAGUACCUCUACUUGGGUGGUUCAGGAAAGAAGUUUGGCCUCAAAGGAGGAACAAGGGUUCACCAGAAAGAUGGAGUAGAAGGGCAUUCCCGAAGGGGCAUGGAAUGGAGGCUGCAGCAUCAAAGCACCAUUUGGCCUGGCUUCUUUUUUGUCAUGCAGGUAUCAGCUUAAAUGUAUGUAACCUCUUCAACGUGGCUUUCUCUGACCACCUACUCCACAAGAAUGCUCCCUACCAGCAUUUGGUUCGAUCCCCUUUUUAGAAUUUAUCUAUUUUUUACCUACAUUUGUUUUUCUGUCUACCUCCCCGCCACAGACACCCCUGAAAAUAAACUCCAUAAGCCUGUGG
rnacentral:lncRNA from 1 species